rnacentral:tRNA from 1 species
AGCGGCCGGGUCAGAUGGCAAGACGCCGGGCUCAUAACCCGGAGAAGUAGGUUCGAUUCCUGCGGCCGCUACCA